rnacentral:misc_RNA from 1 species
AAAGUCGUAACAAGGUUUCCGUAGGUGAACCUGCGGAAGGAUCAUUACCUUUCAAUGCAGCAGAAUUGGGAUGGUUGAGCAUCUCGCCUUUCGAUUCUGCCUGUAUUCUACCCUUGUUUCUCAUACCUUAUUAUUUCCUCGGCAGGCUUGCCUGCCGGGUGAAACCAUUUAUAACCUAUUUAAUUUUCAAUCAGCGUCUGAAAAAAAUUUAAUAAUUACAACUUUCAACAACGGAUCUCUUGGUUCUG